AGCAGCCGCGGUAAUUCCAGCUCCAAUAGCGUAUAUUAAAGUUGUUGUGGUUAAAAAGCUCGUAGUUGGAUCUCAACAGCCUUGAAGCGGUUAACUUUGUAGUUUUACUGCUUUAUAGGCUGUGCUUUUGCUGGAGGUUUAGGGGUGCUCUUGAUCGAGUGUCUCUGGAUGCCAGCAGGUUUACUUUGAAAAAAUUAGAGUGCUCAAAGCAGGCUAAAAUGCCUGAAUAUUCGUGCAUGGAAUAAUAGAAUAGGAUGUCGAUCCUAUUUUGUUGGUUUUCGGGACUCGACAUAAUGAUAAAUAGGGACAGUCGGGGGCAUUUGUAUUCAAACGACAGAGGUGAAAUUCUUGGACCGUUUGAAGACAAACUACUGCGAAAGCAUUUGCCAAGAAUGUUUUCAUUAAUCAAGAACGAAAGUUAGAGGUUCGAAGGCGAUUAGAUACCGCCCUAGUUCUAACCAUAAACGAUGCCAGCUAGCGAUCUGCCUGCGUUUUUACUGUAGACUGGGCAGGAAGCUUCCGGGAAACCAAAGCAUUUGGGUUCCAGGGGAAGUAUGGUUGCAAAGCUGAAACUUAAAGGAAUUGACGGAAGGGCACCACCAGGAGUGGAGCCUGUGGCUUAAUUUGACUCAACACGGGAAAUCUCACCAGGCCCGGACACUGGAAGGAUUGACAGAUUGAUAGCUCUUUCUUGAUUCGGUGGGUGGUGGUGCAUGGCCGUUCUUAGUUGGUGGAGUGAUUUGUCUGGUUAAUUCCGAUAACGAACGAGACUCUGUCCUGCUAAAUAGUUUCUACUUCUCUUUUGAGUAGAAAUUUCUUCUUAGAGGGACUGGUGACUCUUAGUCACACGAGAUUGAGCAAUAACAGGUCUGUGAUGC
rnacentral:rRNA from 1 species